AGAGUGAACGCUGGCGGUAGGCCUAACACAUGCAAGUCGAACGGCAGCACAGUGGUAGCAAUACCAUGGGUGGCGAGUGGCGGACGGGUGAGGAAUACAUCGGAAUCUACCUUUUCGUGGGGGAUAACGUAGGGAAACUUACGCUAAUACCGCAUACGCCCUUCGGGGGAAAGCCGGGGAUCGCAAGACCUGGCGCGGAUAGAUGAGCCGAUGUCGGAUUAGCUAGUUGGUGAGGUAAUGGCUCACCAAGGCGACGAUCCGUAGCUGGUCUGAGAGGAUGAUCAGCCACACUGGAACUGAGACACGGUCCAGACUCCUACGGGAGGCAGCAGUGGGAAUAGUUGGACAAUGGGCGCAAGCCUGAUCCAGCCAUACCGCGUGGGUGAAGAAGGCCUUGGUUGUAAAGUCCCUUUAGUUACGGUAAAGAAAAGACAAUACGGUUAACUUACCGGUGUUCGUGACCGUAACCAAAGAAGUAAGCAACCGCUAACUUCGUGCCAGCAGCGCGUAA
rnacentral:rRNA from 1 species